GGAGGAAUACUCAAGUGGCCGAAGAGGCGCCCCUGCUAAGGGCGUAGGACCGUAAAAAAGUCGCCCGAGUUCAAAUCUCGGUUCCUCCGCCA
rnacentral:tRNA from 1 species